CAGGGACUCAGGGAGUCUCAGGGGAAUGGGGCCUCACUAGGCUUCCAGUCUCACUCUCUCCCCUACAGGCCUCUUCUCCACAAUGGUGGCAGUGACAGUAUCAAGUCUGCAAAGAAGGAGGCGAGGAAAAGAGGAAAAAGUGAGUUGGGACCAGAGGACUAUUCCUCAAACAAGAAACUCAAGUCAGUUUCUGGUCUCCCUCUGUGACUGUGGAGGCAAAGAUAAAAGGAAAAGGCUUUCAGAAUACCAUUAAGAUAUGAAUCUUCAAACCGUGACUGCUUCUAAAUCUUGCAGAGCCUGACGGAGAAAGAAAGGGAUUCCCCUGGACUUGGAAGCCAAGCUCUCUUCAUAUAUCCUGAACACUUUUAUCUCCCUAUGUUUAAGGAAAAUGUAACUUUCUUAUCCUUUGAAAUCA